rnacentral:rRNA from 1 species
AUGGACGUAGCUCUUGCUACAAUUGUAAGUUGUAAUCCUAAAUUAAACUUGAUGGUGCUGAAAUUGGAAAUAAAUUCUGGACGGUGCAUGUCGAUAUGGCACUUGAGAAAACUGACAAUUUGGUACGGAGUCGCAAAAACUGCAAUACUCUCGGUAAUGCUGGAAAAACAAAGAUUGCAUGGCCUUCAAAGUUUGUACGUGACUAAUCUUGCCUUUGUUAGUACUUGCAUGAUGUCAAUGCAUUGCGUGUUAACAAUUCAUUUUAUUUUCUUGUUUGUAGAUUCAAAAGAUAAAUGGAUGAGUAUAUGGGUGUGUGGCAACUCAACUGCAAAGAAAGAUGUCGAUGGUCCGUUUCAUGAUGAUGAUGAUGAUGGAUGGAUGCUAUCAGUUUUAGUUAUAUCGUAG